GACGAACGCUGGCGGCAGGCUUAACACAUGCAAGUCGAACGGGCCCUUCGGGGUCAGUGGCAGACGGGUGAGUAACGCGUGGGAACGUGCCCUUCAGUUUGGGAUAACCCAGGGAAACUUGGGCUCAUACCGCAUACGUCAGAGAGCAGAAAGAUUUAUCGCUGAAGGAUCGGCCCGCGUCUGAUUUGCUGGUUGGUGGGGUAAUGGCCUACCAAGGCGACGCUCAGCAGCUGGUCUGAGAGGGUGAUCCGCCACACUGGGACUGAGACCCGGCCCAGACUCCGGCGGUAGGCAGCAGUGGGGAAUCUUAGACAAUGGGCGCAAGCCUGAUCUGGCCAUGCCGCGUGAGCGAUGAAGGCCUUAGGGUUGUAAAGCUCUUUCAGUGGGGAAGAUACGUACUGUACCCACAGAAGAAGCCCCGGCUAACUCCGUGCCUGCCGCCGCCGUAA
rnacentral:rRNA from 1 species